rnacentral:rRNA from 1 species
AUUGAACGCUGGCGGCAUGCCUUACACAUGCAAGUCGAACGGCAGCAUGGGUGCUUGCACCUGAUGGCGAGUGGCGAACGGGUGAGUAAUGCAUCGGAACGUACCCGGAAGUGGGGGAUAACGUAGCGAAAGUUACGCUAAUACCGCAUAUUCGGUGAGCAGGAAAGCGGGGGAUCGCAAGACCCCGCGCUUCCGGAGCGGCCGAUGUCGGAUUAGCUAGUUGGCGGGGUAAAGGCCCACCAAGGCAACGAUCCGUAGCGGGUCUGAGAGGAUGAUCCGCCACACUGGGACUGAGACACGGCCCAGACUCCUACGGGAGGCAGCAGUGGGGAAUUUAGGACAAUGGGGUCAACCCUGAUCCAGCCAUGCCGCGUGAGUGAAGAAGGCCUUCGGGUUGUAAAGCUCUUUCGGCUGGGAAGAAAUCGCAUCUCCUAAUACGGGGUGUGGAUGACGGUACCAGCAUAAGAAGCACCGGCUAACUACGUGCCAGCAGCCGCCGUAACAC